rnacentral:lncRNA from 1 species
UAGAAACUAUUGUGAGAAAAUUAAUUGAAUGCCUAAAAAAUUAAACUAACAAAGGAAAUAAAUUGCUGAAGAAAAAUAUGGAAUGCUGAAAAAAAUAUAAUGCUGUAAAAAUAAUGGCAACAGAAACAAGGUUGCUGAAAAAGAAAAAAAUGCUAAAAGCUAGAAAGCUGAAAACUAAAUUGCAGAGCGUAAAAAAAUGUAAAAGUAGGCCGUCCCCAAUUUUUCCCAUU